AUUGAACGCUGGCGGCAGGCCUAACACAUGCAAGUCGAACGAGUGGCGGACGGGUGAGUAAUGUCUGGGAAACUGCCUGAUGGAGGGGGAUAACUACUGGAAACGGUAGCUAAUACCGCAUACCAUCAGAUGUGCCCAGAUGGGAUUAGCUAGUUGGUGGGGUAACGGCUCACCAGGGCGACGAUCCCUAGCUGGUCUGAGAGGAUGACCCGCCAAACUGGAACGGAGACACGGUCCAGACUCCUACGGGAGGCAGCAUUGGGGAAUAUUGCAAAAUGGGCGCAAGCCUGAGGCAGCAAUGCCGCGUGUAUGAAGAAGGCCUUCGGGUUGUAAAGUACUUUCAGCGGGGAGGCGUUACCCGCAGAAGAAGCACCGGCUAACUCCGUGCCAGCCGCCGCGGUAAUAC
rnacentral:rRNA from 1 species